rnacentral:tRNA from 6 species
UCCCCAGUAGCUCAGUUGGCAGAGCAGGUGACUGUUAAUCACCGGGUCGCAUGUUCGAGUCAUGCCUGGGGAGCCA